rnacentral:rRNA from 1 species
AGGGAAUAUUGCACAAUGGAGGAAACUCUGAUGCAGCGACGCCGCGUGAGUGAUGAAGGCCUUCGGGUUGUAAAGCUCUGUCGCACAGGAAUAAGAAAGUGAAUGUACUGUGCAAGAAAGGAUCGGCUAACUUCGUGCCAGCAGCCGCGGUAAGACGAGGGAUCCUAGCGUUGUUCGGAAUCAUUGGGCGUAAAGCGGGUGCAUGUUGCUCGAUAAGUCAGGUGUGAAAUCCCAGGGCUCAACCCUGGAAGUGCAUUUGAUACUGUUGAGCUUGAGUGCUGGAGAGGUAAGCAGAAUACCUGGUGUAGUGGUGAAAUACGUAGAUAUCAGGUGGAAUACCGGAGGCGAAGGCGGCUUACUGGCCAGACACUGACACUCAGACCCGAAAGCGUGGGGAUCAAAC